UAAUAUGAAAAUGGCAAACCCUGGACGGCAGCCGGUGGAACCGAUCCGAUUCGGUGUAAUGAGAAAAUUGUUCGCUCAAGCAUGAGAGCAAAUAGAGAGAGCAAGAGCGAAAGUGGCGCUCGUUAAUCGCGUUGGGUUAGGGUCUCCGUCGUAUCGACUAGGCCCCCACCGUACACUGGGAUCCACCAGCGGCAGUUCGGUUAGUCUUUCGUGUUGUGGUCUGAUGAGUGGAUGUCUAGUUUAGGCGUCUGUUGCGGUGUCGGAUAGUUUCUUUUUUAAUUUACGUUGCUUCCCAUGUUUGUGCUAAGGAACCUCCGUUUGCCGUCUGCCGUUUUUGUUCACGUCGUUCGGAUGUUUGAUUGUUGUGUAAGGUCUGUUCCAACACUGCUGUUUGAAAGUGCAUUCGUGGGCCAAUUAGAAGAUCGUGCAGUGCCAAGUUGAGCGAUGCCAUGAGCUGAAAACGGGAGGUUUUCCUUCGAAUGAAUUGCGUUCCUGGAACGAGGAACGAAGAAAUUAUAAUAAGAUUUUCGUGUCCAUCCUCGGAUGUUUGGUUAUUUUUGUUCCGCUUCACAGUUGUGGAAUCGGCCAUCGAAGUGACCAUCGAAUGACCUUGUGAAGUUCGCAUCGUAGACGGUGUACCGUGGCAAAAAAAAAUUCUGGCCGCCAGCUGAGACGGCGGUUUUUUAGUCGAUGGCCACGGGUGGAGUGAAAACAAUUUUAAUCGGUGAUAAUUGGCUUGUAAAAACAGGCCAUUGACGUGUUGUUUCCGAGACGAAUUCGAUGUGCGACUUCCCCUGACCAAAUUCCGGAGUGAGCAAAGUGAACCGCAACAGUGUUUCAUGGUAGGAAGUAGCGUACAGUGAAGCCAUACAGGAAGAAACAAAAGAGGUGACGUUGUUCUGGGUCUUCGGAAACCCUAGUGAGGGCGUACAGUUUUUCUCAACUCAACCCGGUUUUGAAAAGUGUUCCGAAGAUUUCUAGUGUGCUGCCGUGAUUCAUAAUACAAUAUCAAAAGUAUCAUCCUCCCCGUUUCGAAUAGGAGAAAUUUGGAGACUAGCCAAGUUCCUUCAACGUUACAACAAUGGUUUUCGGCAACCGGUUUCGAAUUGGAAGGUGAGUUUCGUUUCAUCCAGAAGCCACAGAUAAUAUCAGGGAUUAAUCAUCGGAAUUUUCACCCUUCGUUGCCCUUGGCUCAGUACCUUCUACACCCGAACGUGAAGUCGAUUAUUCUAGUCUGCUAGCUUCUUCACUCGGUGGCGGCAGAUGCGGAACGUAUCUUCAGCAGCUCAGAAGUUCACUCACAUUUGCUCUACUACAACUCCUUAUUGCUUAGUGCGAUGUUCCGUACGGCAAACAUCUCGUCGUUGCUACUUGAAAUCACCUGCUUCAUAUAACUAGCGAAGAAAAGAAAAAAACCGAGACUCGUAAUUGUAAAUGAAAA